rnacentral:rRNA from 1 species
UACGUAGGUGGCAAGUGUUGUCCGGAUUUACUGGGUGUAAAGGGCGUGUAGGCGGGCUGUCAAGUCAGAUGUGAAAUCUAUGGGCUUAACCCAUAACGUGCAUUUGAAACUGAUAGUCUUGAGUGAUGGAGAGGCAGGCGGAAUUCCUAGUGUAGCGGUGAAAUGCGUAGAUAUUAGGAGGAACACCAGUGGCGAAGGCGGCCUGCUGGACAUUAACUGACGCUGAGGCGCGAAAGCGUGGGGAGCAAACAGGAUUA